rnacentral:rRNA from 1 species
UAACUCUGGAACUGCCAUCAAAACUUUUAGCUAGAGUAUGAUAGAGGAAAGCAGAAUUUCUAGUGUAGAGGUGAAAUUCGUAGAUAUUAGAAAGAAUACCAAUUGCGAAGGCAGCUUUCUGGAUCAUUACUGACACUGAGGAACGAAAGCAUGGGUAGCGAAGAGGAUUAGAUACCCUCGUAGUCCAUGCCGUAAACGAUGUGUGUUAGACGUUGGAAAUUUUUUUCAGUGUCUCAGCGAAAGCAAUAAACACACCGCCUGGGGAGUACGACCGCAAGGUUAAAACUCAAAUGAAUUGACGGGGACCCGCACAAGUAGUGGAGCAUGUGGUUUAAUUCGAAGAUACGCGCAGAACCUUACCAACACUUGACAUGUUCGUCGCGACUUUAAGAGAUUAAAGUUUUCGGUUCGGCCGGACGAAACACAGGUGCUGCAUGGCUGUCGUCAGCUCGUGUCGUGAGAUGUUGGGUUAAGUCCCGCAACGAGCGCAACCCUCACUUUUAGUUGCCAUCAUUUAGUUGGGCACUCUGAAAGAACUGCCAGUGAUAAGCUGGAGGAAGGUGGGGAUGACGUCAAGUCCUCAUGGCCCUUACGUGUUGGGCUACACACGUGCUACAAUGGCAUUUACAAUAGGAAGCAAGAUGGCGACAUUAAGCAAAUCCUAAAAAAAUGUCUCAGUUCGGAUUGCACUCUGCAACUCGAGUGCAUGAAGCUGGAAUUACUAGUAAUCGCGGAUCAGCGCGCCGCGGUGAAUACGUUCCCGGGUCUUGUACACACCGCCCGUCACACCAUGGGAGUUGGUUCUACCUUAAGGCAAAGCUUAUAAACUUUGACCACGGUAUAGUCAGCGACUGGGGUGAAGUCGUAACAAGGUAGCCGUA